CUUAGCAGUAGCAGUAGCAACAGCCUUCUUUAUGGUCCAGCUUUUACAUGGGACAUGUCUCUUGGAAAAACCAUGGCUUUGACUGUCUGGACCUUCAUUAGCAAAAUGUCUCUGCUUUAUAAUACCCUUUCUAGGUUUGCCAUAGCUUUCCUUCCAAGGAGCAAGUGUCUUUUGAUUUCGUGGCUGCAGUCACUGUCUGCAGUGAUUUUGGAGCCCAAGAAAAUGUAAGGUUCUAACUGUUGCUUCUUAACCUGCAUAAAGAUUUCUCAGGAGACAAGUAAGGUGGUCUGGCAUUCUAGUCUCUUAAAGAAUUUUCCACAGUUGGUUGUGAUCCACACAGUCAAAUGCUUUGGCAUAGUCAAUGAAGCAGAAGUAGAUGUUUUUCUGAAAUUCUCUUGUUUUAUCUAUAAUCCAACAGAUGUUGACAAUUUGAUCUCUGGUUCCUUUGCUUUUUCUAAAUCCAGCUUGUACAUCUGGAAGUUCUCAGUUCAUGUACUGCUGAAGUCUAGCUUAAAGGAUUUUGAGCAUAACCCUACCUGUGAAAUAAGUGCAGUUGUGCAGUAGUUUGAACAUUCUUUGGUGUUGCCCUUCUUUGGGAUUGGAAUGAAAACUGACCUUUUCCAGUCCUGUGGCCACUGCUGAAUUUUCCAAAUUUGCUGACAUAUUGAGUGCAGCACUUUAACAGCAUCAUGUUUUAGGAUUUGAAAUGGCUCAACUGGAAUUCCAUGACCUCCAGUAGCUUGGUUUUUAGUCAAACUUCAUUGAUGGAAUGCAAAUGUGAAACCCUUUUCUGUUUUCUCAGGCCAACUCCCACUCUCCCUUCUUUCACUGUCUGCUGCUGCUGCUGCUAAGUCGCUUCAGUUGUGUCCGACUCUGUGCGACCCCACAGACAGCAGCCCACCAGGCUCCCCAGUCCCUGGGAUUCUCCAGGCAAGAACACUGAGACGUAGUGCUGUGGACUGCGGACAUAGUGGGAAUGAGAAGACAUGGAAAUGAUCAGGAAGCAAUCGCCUACUUCACAGUUUCUAUAUGAUAUCACUUAUUAACCAGAUAGCAGGAACUACUGAGCUUAUACAGCCUUCAGUUCUAACCUCACGACCUGAUUUUGGAAACAAGCCUGGCUUCUUGUUUCAGAAAUUCAGAGAACCCGUGUGGCAUACCGCAGGACCUGGAACUCAUUCAUAUCAAGAAAACUAAAGGCACUCUGCAGAAAAGGCUCUCAGGAUAUCUCACAAACAGGAUCUUAUGAAAACCAAAUAAACUGGAACAGAAGAAAGAGGCACAGAUAUAAGAGUGGCAUUCGGAGGAAAGAUUAAAGCAAUCACAUUUCUGAAACAAGUUGCUACAUCUCUAGCUUCUGGUGUACAUGAAUCAAUUUCUAGCUUCCUUAAUCUCUAAAUUCCAUUAAAUAAUGUGACUCAGACCAAAAUCAAAUAUGAUGCCUGGCACUGUCAUAUUUAAUGCUGGACUGCAGUUCAGAAACAAAUUAGACCCUUGUUUUGAAGUUCAAAUGAUAGUUUCGUUUCUGAGACUUAACAUGAAGAAUCAUACACUCUGCCCAACAUGAGGACCCAGAUAUUCCAAGGAAAGUAGAGCUCUCCUUUUUAUUUGCUUUUCAAGCAGCCUUAAUUAAUUAUUUUAAUGUUGUUAAAGAAUAUGGAUGUGAGAGUUGGACUAUAAAGAAAGCUGAGUGCCAAAGAAUUGAUGCUUUUGAACUGUGGUGUUGGAGAAGACUCUUGACUGUCCCCUGGACUGCAAGGAGAUCCAACCAGUCCAUCCUAAAGGAAGUCAGUCCUGAAUGUUCAUUGGAAAGACUGAUGUUGAAGCUGAAACUCCAAUACUUUGG
ensembl:lncRNA